rnacentral:rRNA from 1 species
UGCGUAGGGGGCAAGCGUUGUCCGGAAUCAUUGGGCGUAAAGCGCGUGUAGGCGGCUCGAUAAGUCUGCUGUGAAAGUCCAGGGCUCAACCCUGGGAUGCCGGUGGAUACUGUCGGGCUCGAGUCCGGAAGAGGCGAGUGGAAUUCCUGGUGUAGCGGUGAAAUGCGUAGAUAUCUGGAGGAACACCGGUGGCGAAGGCGGCAUCCUGGGACCAUUACUGACGCUGAGGAGCGAAAGCCAGGGGAGCAAACGGG